rnacentral:rRNA from 1 species
ACGCUCGACACCUACGGGAGACAGCAGUGGGGAAUAUUGCACAAUGGGGGAAACCCUGAUGCAGCGACGCCGCGUGGAGGAAGAAGGUCUUCGGAUUGUAAACUCCUGUUGUUGGGGAAAAAGAGGAUGGUACCCAACAAGGAAGUGACGGCUAACUACGUGCAGCAGCCGCGGUAAUCUGAGGCGGGCUGGCAAGGC